UGCUUUGCUGUCUGUAUCAGACACCUGUUAUUUCGUUUGUUUGCCACGGCCUGCCACCGCUUUGACCUGUGUGUUUUGGUAGCUGACCCAUAGGCAGAAAGAGAGAGGCGUUGAUCUGUCUCUCUUAGUUGUUGAUCCAUAGAGAGAGAGAGAGAGAGAGAGAUUUGAUGCACAGAGAAACGGAGAGAUAGAGAGAGGGCGAAGAGUUUGUAUGAUCGAGCCCGGAGUUCAGCAGCCUGGAGAUUUGACGAUUUUUGUCUCACGGAUAUAUAUAGGUCGUCGUUUGCUGAUCAGUUUUGGUUCUGCUUCUUUAACAUCCCUGUUUGAUUUCUUCAAAAUUUAUUCACAUGUCAAUGAUUUACGGUCUGGGCUGUACCAGAUUUUCUAGGAAGAAGUAAUUGAUAGCUUCUAGGAAACUAGAGUCCAAGACGGUACCUUUGAUAUGACAAAUUCAAAAUAUGGUGGAAAGCCCUACAUUGAUAUCAGCAAGUGAAAGAAGGGAAUGACUGCAAACAGAAGAUGGUUACUGCACUGCGGCCGUAUUGGAUCAAUGGCUAUCGGAUAAUAUAAAGACACAUUAUCAUGUUUUGUAACUGGGUGAUGAUGUAUAUGAUGCCAUGUUGAACCAGACGAAUGUUGGCCAUACCAAUAACAAGUUCUAUGUGCUUCAAGUUCUUGAAUCCGAUGAUGGUGGUAAUUUUGUGGUUCACUAUAGAUUGGGGGAGAGUAGGUGUCAAGGGUUAAAUGGAGGGGUUUGUAAUAAUAAGAUGGUGGAAACUGAACCUACUUGGAACUGUCGCACUUUGGGGUAUGCCUUUCUCAAGUAAGUUUAAAUGUUGACGAAGCCUAAUGGUAAGAGAUUUUAUGCAAGCAUAGAUGGACAAGGAGAUAUGAAGUUCAUUUAUGGGACCAAGGGUCUUGGCAUCCAACAUAAAGGAAGAAGGGAAAGCAAGUUUAUCUAGGAAAGUACUUAAUUACUAACUAGACUGCUCAAAACCACUUAAUUGUCAGAUAAACAUAUCUUGAAUCAUCAAACACAGAAUGUAUAUGCAAGGGUUUAUGGUGAAGAAGAAUCCGCAGUAAGAGCAUAUGAUUUGGCAGCACUCAAGUACCGGGGAACAUCGACUUUCAAAAAUUUUUCAAUGUCUGAUUAUGAGAAUGAAAUUGAUCUAAUGAAGACACUUUAACAUUAGAAGAAUACUUGGCCUCUCUAAGAAGAAGAAGCAGUGGCUUUUCAAGUGGUGUAUCCAAGGACAAAGGAGUUGCAAGGACAAUGGCAAUUAAAACCCUUCAUCAAAUGUGACUGUUCUGAUAAUGUCACUUGCCACAUUACCCAGCUGUAAUUUAGUCUCUUACUGUCUUUGUUUUUAUUUUGAUGCCACUCUGAACAACCAUACUUUACCUUCAAAAUCACAUCCAUCCAAUGAUCAUGAUUUGCAUUUGCAUGAAAGUCUAUACGUUGGAUGUUGUUGUCCUACUUCCACAUGAGCUAUGGACAUCGAGCUACCUAUUCAAUCUGUAUGUUGUGAUAAAUUAUUGUGCUCGAGUUUCACAUUUAGCUGGCCAAGUUUAGUACCAAAUUUGUAAUAUUUGUCAUAUUUUGAAAUAUGUAAAUACACGUCUGAUUAGAAUACCAGCUUUUGUAGUCUGUAAAUAAAUAACAACUUCAAUUAUAGUACAUAUUUGGCAUGAAAGUAAGCCAACGUUUCUUGAA